AGUAAUUGGAUCAAAUAGCUAGAAGAGGCUUUCCCUUUCUCCUUUUAUUUCCUUAAUUGUAUUUGCUUGAGAUGAGUCAAUAUUUGUUGAGCGCCUGUGUACCAAAGCACUCAUUUCAUCCUCAUUGAAAUCCUCAAAGAGUAGAAGAGUUCUCCAUGUUUCCUAAUUGAAGAACCUGAGGAGGCUCUCAGGCUCCCAGUGGGUCCCUAAGCCACACAGCUAGUCAGUGAUGAAGCAGGCAUUUGAGUCCAGAAACAAUGUAAGAAGUUAAUAUUAUGUUGAUUAGUAGGUGAGGCUUCGAAACAGAGUUAGACCCAGCAUGUGUAAAAUUGCUUUAAAAUUUGCACCAUACACUGCCUCCCCUGUCCACUGUUGCCUUUUUCUGAUGCCUUCUCUACUCUUCAGCUGGAGUUACCUCUGUAAAAUGAAAGUUUGAUCAUGCCAUCACUUAAAAACCCUCUGGUUUAAAACACUCUAGUGGCUUCUCCUCUUCAGCUGCCCCAUGAUGCCCUGGGCAGUGUGGUCCCACCUACUCCUCAGGUCCCAUCUCUUGUACCCAGUUGACUGGCCUGGCCUUUGUCAGGGAAUCAAGUCCUUUCUGUGUCAGAUGCAUUUCCUUCUGCCUGGGACACCCUUACCAUUCAGUUCACCUUACCUCUUAUCCUUCAGUUUCUGGCUAAGUACUGAUUCCUCAGAGACCUUUUCCUGACAUCCUGCCUAGGUCUGAUCUCAUGGCACUUUGUGCUUUUCCUUCAGAGCACUUGUCACAGUUGAAUCACGUGUGUUGCGGGUGCAUAUUUUUAAUGUCUCGUUAGAUGGCGAAUUCUGUGAAACAAGAAACAUGGCUCUACCCAUUGUUGUGUUUGCAGUGUCUGGCAUAAGCCUGGCAUGGAGUUCACAGUAGAAAACUAGUGUACUAUGAGAUGUGAGUGGAAUGUUUCCUGUUUGCUAAGUAUGGGUGAGAAGAACCCACAGCUAAAAACAAGGUGUUCAAAAUCCCCACUUUCUGUGGUCAGAGAUCUGCAUCUCUGCGGCAUUUUCCUGCAGAGCUUUUUCAAAAGGUGUCAUUUCAGCAGAACCAAUUCUCACAUUGCCCCCACCCUUCACCCCCAUAAAAAGAUGACUGGAGGAGGGGGAGAUGUCACCUUUUGUGGGAACUUCUCUCAGCGAAGCGGAGCAUGCGAAUUUGACAUCAUGAUUGUCUGAAAAUUGGUAAGCCACUAUCCCAGAAAGAGCUCCCUAUGCCCAGGGCUUGCAAUGCUAAGAGAAGGAGGCAGGAGAGAGACAGGGAGCGACACUACAUUUGGUGGGGUGAGGAUAUGAGGUUCCUUGGACAUCAUGGCCUCCAGUGAAUAUGUGGGUGAUGGCUUGGAACUUAAGCUUUUUUGCUAGUGCCCCACAAAAGAGUACCCUCCACAACCCAUCUGUGGACCACAGCAGUGCCUCUCAACAAACAUGUGCCCCAAGGAGUGAGUUAGAAUAUGGAUGGUAUCCCAAAGGAAGGACCCGUGGCCAGUCAGAAAGCUCAUGCCCACCAAGGUGGGUGGUUCUUCUAGGGACCAACCUCUUUUGAAGUUCGUGAAGAAGUGAGUUUUUGUGUAGUCUUUUUGUUGUUGUUUGGGUUGUGUUUUUUGUCAUUGUUGUUUGUUUGAGACAGGAUCUCACUCUGUUACCCAGGCUGGAGUGCAGGGCCACGAUCAUGGCUCACUGCAGCCUCAAACUUCUGGGCUCAAAGGAUCCUCCUGCCUCAGCCUCCUGAGUAUCUGGGACUACAGGUGUGCACUACCUGGCCGGCUGAUUUUUAAAUUUUUCUGUAGAGACAGGAUCUCUCUUUGUUGCUCAGGCUGGUCUCAAACACCUGGCUCCAGGAGAUAUUCCCGCCUCAGCCUCCCAAAGUACUGGGAUUACAGGCAUGAGCCACCAUGCCAGGCCUCGCCCUUACUCCUUUUGAAGUCCAGGUGGUUACAGCUGCCCCUGGAAGGGGCAGAUUGUGGAUGCAAGCCCCCUAACAGCAGAAAAAGGCUAUUGACAGUGAAUGAGGGACUUCCAAUUCUAGAAAUAGAUCCCGUUGCCUUAGGGGUGGAUAGUGGACAAGGUACUAACACCAAUAAAUGCCUCAAAGAUUUCAUUUGCUUUUGAACUUGCAGAAAUGGGAGUGAAGUGAUUUCUGAUUUUUCCCUUGGGAAAGCAGAAAGAAACCCUUCCUCGUACAGCUGCUCCCAUGAGAAAAAGUUCAACAGAAAACAUAUUAAAUGCCCAUUUCCCAAGACUCUCAAUCAGAGUGGUAAGAAGCAAAGGGACGACGCUACAGAGGUGUCUGGGAAACUCAGGCUGAUUAAAGGUAGCCUCCUUGACUUGCAGGCUCUGUGAAGGAAAGCACACCUCAUAAAUCCUUUUGGACUGUUUUUUGGCUAAACUCUCAGAUUUAUACGAAGAACUAUUUUAAAUGAAUCAGCGUGUCUUUGUUUGCAUCUUCUGAGAUUCUGAAGACUGCAGCCAAGGAGCUAGUAAGGCUGAGAAAUGGAUUGAGCAUUUAAUCGGUUGAAUACUUCCUUAUGUUUUCCUCGUGUGUUCUCAUAACAAGCGACCUUAGUCCAACUCCUAGUAACACAUGAUUGUGGAAUGUGCCCUCCUGAGAAAUACUGCCUUAUUUUUUCAUCCUGAGCACAUUGAAAGUCUCUGAAAAUGCAGAUGAGCUUGUUUGGACAAUGGUAAUAAUAAUAUAUGCUAGCGAUACCUGCUGUGUGUCUGGUAUUUUACAUGUUACAACUGAGUGUCACAACAGCCCUGGUCAAAUGCAGGGAAAAUGAAGACCUAGAAAAACUAGGUCACUUACCUGAUGUCACUCAGUUCAAGCCCAGGUUUCUGCAUUUCUAAAUUUUCCACAGAUUCUUAUCAGCAUCCUUGACAAAUGAGGCUAUGCCAGAACCCCCAAAUCAUGACAUUUUCAUUGAUUCUUUUCUUCCACCUGCAAACAACAUCAGGAUCUACUCCUGUUUGGUUUUUUUCUUUGAAUAUACGU
rnacentral:lncRNA from 1 species